UGGGUGCUGGGCAUUAAGGAGGGCACGUGAUGUAAUGAGCACUGGGUGUUAUAUAAGACUGAUGAAACACUGAACACCACCUCUGAAACUGAUUAUACAUUAUAUGUUAAUUAAUUGAAUUUAAAUUAAAAAACUUGAAAAAGGAAGAUGAAGAAGAAUUACAGUUAUUCAUUUAGCCUAGGUUUGUGGUUUAAAGCAUAGACUCUGGAACCAGACGGCUUGUGUCCCAACACUUACUGAUGCCAGAUCUAAGGAAACACUUAUACUUAGGCUCCUGGGAUAGGAACCAUCCUCAGCCCUUAAUAAAUGAAUAUAUUUGACAAACACUGAUCAACUAUGAUGUGUUAGGCACCACAGAGCCCAGAGAGACAACUAAAACAGAGGCUGAUUCUCUCAGUGGUUCUAUACAGCCUCUAGUCAGAAGGACCCAUCUGUACUCUGGCUUUGGCAAGUUUCUUAACCUCUCUGAAAAGCAACUUACUGAGCUGUAAAAUGAUGAUCAUAUUCUCUUUCCAGGGUUGUUCUGUGGGUUAAAGGAGGCAACCCAUGUAAACUACUUACAUGGUUUAAUGCCAGGGUAGUGGCUGGCAUAAAGACUCAGUAAAUGUUAGCCAUGAUUAUUUUUAUGCUUCCUCAUAUUUGCAGCAAUUUACAGUGUCCCAAACACCUCCACAUCCACAUCCACAAUUGUGUUUCGUUCUUAUAAAGCACGGCUUUUCUAGUUAUUUAAAAAUGUGUCACUUUUACCAAGCGUAUGGAAGCUUAGAAAGGCGUUGUGAGGAGCUUAAAAAUCACAGCUUCUAAGUGAAGGAGCUAGGAUUCUAACUCCCAAGUUAUGCGGGUCUUUCAUGUCCUUUGUCCCUCUCCUCACAUUUAUCUAGCCACUCAGGAACGGCUGCAAUCCAAGGAAGGCUGUGAUAACAAUAACAAGGUCAUAAAGUAUAUCAAGGAAUAGGAAAGGAGAAAUUCUGGAUGAGAGGUCUGGAAAGGCUGCAAGACCGGAAUGCAGUUGGGCCUUGACGGAUGUUUGCUGACUGGGGAUCUGGUGGUGAGGUAAGGCAGGGAACGAUCUGGAAAGAUUGGGCUUCCAGUCCUGGCUGUGCAUUAGCUAGCUGCGAGAUGUUGAGAAGGUCACGUCCCCUCUCUAGGCGUGUUUCCUGAGGGACUGGUGCAGCGGGAUGGGAGGGGCGUGGUAGGGACCGCUUCCAAGAAGAGAGCGGCAGAGUGGCGGGCAGACUCCCAGGGGCUGAUGCCGGAGUGGCCGCCCUUCGUGGUGCCUAGGGCCGAGCUGGAGCAGAGCGUAAAGGCCUUCCACCUUCC